rnacentral:rRNA from 1 species
ACGUUUAACCCGCUAAACGGGACGAAGUAAGCCGCCUACUAGGUAUGACUGGUGACUGGGGUG